ensembl:lncRNA
ACUCUAUACACACACAUUCCCACACCUAAUCCAAUUCUACAAGUUUGAACUCAACUUUUACUCACACUGUUCCGUUUUUUUUUUUUUUUUUUUGCUCAUUUUGCUCACCGCCUUGUCCCAGCUCUUUUAUUCAUUUGGUUCCUCCGUUGUAUUGCCUUCAGCUCCCACAGCUCAUCCAGGAUGCUGCAGCCAGUGUUACCCUCAGGUGCGAAGGAUGGAGUGGGCCCUCAUGCACUUCAUCCACUGGCUGCUUGGUAGCAUCCCAGAUUCCUGGUGCACAGAGCUGCGGAGGGAGAUUCAUUCUCACACAAUCCCUCUGCUCCACUGUCCGACCUUACACUCCAGUCAAUGCUUGCUUCAUCCUUCCUGGGGCCACAAAUCGACGGACGGAACGAAAGAGCUGGAAUUUGCAAUGUAAGGGAUAGGAACAGUCCUGAAGAAGAAAGCCUACCUUAUGCUGCAGCUGUGAGGAGUGAAGAACUGAUACAAUGAGUUGAGACUCAUCUAUAUGUUUAUUAGUAUGACCGACAAUUUAGUUUAGAGAAGUUUUGCUUUUCAGAGACAGGUUACCAAACUAUCACACAAGGGGAAAAGACAAAACUGAUUUAAUAAAAGAUAGAUCACUGUUUAAUCAAUGUGAAAAUGGGACCGUUUUCUGAGAUAAAACAAACACUGAUAUGCCUCACAGUUUAUCACAAAGUUCAAUUUAGAGUCUAUGACUGUCCCAAGAGGCUUUCUACGCAGUUAACAGCCUGGUCUUUAAUGAUAGCGGUCUUAUUGAAGCAUGAGUUCUGAAAUCUAUAAUCCUAUCUUUUGUCUUGCAUAUCAUUUGUUCUCAUGCUUACUUUGGCACGUUUGUGUACAGAAUAUAAAGUAAAUGCGAGAGAGCUCAGCCCUGGAGGUCAGACAAUGAUUAGCUUUGCCAGAUAGACAAAUGACAAAUGUUUAUGUGAAAGGCCCUCUAGCAGCUAUAGCAAUUGAGAUGUGAGCAAAUUAAGGAGAAAGUCAGGUGACAUUGUUAUACACCAUCAAUGUCCACAUAGGGAGGAGGGUGAGGUUGAUGGAUGGGUCAACAAAAUGUCUGACUUUAAUACAGGAGGUUUGAUUCUUGUUUCCAGCCUACAAUCAACAUUGUUUUUUUAAGCAUGACCACAAUCUUUCUCUAAUUUCUCUUAGUAACCAAGUCGUGCCUAAACUUUAACCAUAGCAUAGUCAACCCAUAAACUAUACUCAUUAUCGAACAGUGAUACUGUAAUGGCACAGCCAAAUUAUGUCAUUCUGCCGAUAGGAGUGUCAGAUCACAAAAUGCUUCUAUGUGUCAUUCUAGACGGCAUGGACCAACAAUAUAUUUGUUGUGUAGUUUGGACAACAUGUUGGCAAAGUGUAAAAUGAAAAAAAAAAAAACUCAAACCCAGAACUUUCUCUGAGCCUCCAAAAACAAAGUUAGUAGUGCAGCAAUAAGGACAAUGGUGAAUUUUGGCAAACCAAAUCUGUUUCCAUUUUUUUAGUUCUAUUAAAUCUAUAUAAGUCUUAAAUAACAGUUCAUAUGUGCGAUAGACCAUGACCACACUGCACCAAAUUCCAGUCACAAUGCAAGUCAUCCAAAUCUGGCAUAGAAAAUUUAAAAAGCUUUUUUUUAGCAAAAUUACAAUGUGAGUCACUUAAACAGUCUGGGAUCAGACUGUGAAAUUCAACGUUAAGCACGACCAACUUUGGAAAUGUUCUCCGUGUUUCUCCUCAGGCCACAGACAUGUCUAUCAUCCUCCAAACUUUUUGUCUCGCACUGAAGUCCUUGAGCUAUUUAUCUAAACAACAAAGCAAAUGAGCUCUUUUCCUCUUGCCCCUUCCCAUCCUCGUAUCCCUGUUUUGUAUCUGCUCCAGCAGUGUAUCAUUGAUUGAUGUAUUAGUUACUGUGUUAAGGUACUGACACUUUUGCUGAGACAACAAAGUGGAAAGCGUUAACUUUGUGGCUGCAUUAAAACAAAUCUGAGUACCGCCUUGCUGCAAAUGUGCAGUUUCUAUUUAGACUAAUGAUACUCCCUUAAAAAAAAACUUGUGUUGAUGAAGUGUGAUUGCAUUGCUUAGAAUUAUGCAAUAGUGUAAAAGGUAGAAAAAAACAUAAUUUGCAAAAUGUAUAAUGUGUAGAUUGUAUAUUCUUAGUGUGUGCUCAGCAAUCUCCGUUAUUGCAUGAAUCGGUAAUGUCACCGCUGUCACCCUCGCUCAGUGAUUUACAGUCUCAGCAUUAAGAGAGGUGUCAACACCAAAAACAAAUGGUCCAGGAGUUAAUAUGCUGGCGUGCACAACAUACGUCAUAUUUUCAAGGACAAAGUGUUCUGUGUGCAUUAAAAACGUUUUUAAUAUGAGAAUAUCUCUCAAAAAGUGAACACAGUGGGAAAGUUUAGAGUUAUAAUUGAAACCCUGAAGCAGUGAUAACAUUAUACCAAAGGGUGCUUUGGGUUGCAGAGACUUGCAGUGACUCUUGAUAAGGGAUGUGAAAGAAGAGGGGGUGAACUGUUGGUGAAAGCACGAUAGAAAGAUGGCUAUGUUAUGUCUAGAUUACAGCACUUCAUUUGUACAUACAGGUUAAUGUAAAGCAAUUGGGCAACCAGAGACACACACCUACACACAUACUUACUGACUAUAUACUGACUAUUGAAAUCUCUCCUUGUCUUGAUUCCAGCUGUAGUUCCUUUGGCAUUACCAAAGGUUGAGGAGUGUUAAUGUUUUACUCACUCUGCCAGUCUAUCUGCCAAGUUCCUAAAAAAUGCACUGUAGGGCCUCCCAGAGAGAAAAACUGCUUGUGCCAACACAACUUUUCUCUCUCGCUCUCUCGCUCUCUCUUUCCUUCCUGACAUUUUCGAUAACUGUCCCUCAUGCACUGCAAUAUGUACUUUUGCAGCCUCAUUUUCUCCUUCCGCUCUUUGCUGUGUCAACACAGCUAACACAAAAAAUGCGUCAGCUUAAUUGAAGCUGUUCAAGCCUAAUUCAGCGACUCCUUUCAAACACUAAUGCUCCAAUCAAAGCUUAAAAGGAUUUUUUUUUUUUUAGAUUCGGGGAGAGUGUGUUUUUUUUUUUCAGU